GCUGCCCAUGUAAAGUAAGCACCUCCAACUGGGGCAAUAAUUCUAACAACUAGAUAGAGGCCCAAAUGGUGACAUGCCCAGCUGCAGCCCAAUUCUGUGAGGCAUGUCAAAAUUCGAACCAAAGGCAGAGGAAACAUACGUUCCAGAAAUUACAGCUGGAUUCAUGAAUUUUAGAAAGGUCUCACUGGAAGUAUCACCUCCUCUAAGAAGCCCUCCCUUGAUAUCACCUACACAAGCUAAGCAAAGGGAUGCAAUUAUCUCCCGAAGAUGAAUCAGAAAACUGCUGGCAGCUUGGAAACCACAGCCCAUCCGCAUGUUAAGCUGUUUGAGAAAAUGUUGGGGACAGGCUCGUCCAGAACAUCAGGGCAGUGAGCAGAAAGGGGGAGACAUGAGGAAAUGAGUGCAAAGAACCCAGGAGGAAAAACAUCAUCAAUUGAUGAAGCAAAAGAAGCUCUGUUUUGUUCAGUGCGAGUAGAAGCUAUGUUUAACCUGUUCCCACAGCCUUUCCUGUCCUAAAGAGAACCUCCUCCAGAAAAGAUAAUAUUCAUUGUAUUUGAAUAUUUUCUGAAAUAAAAAAG